UACGUAGGGUGCGAGCGUUAAUCGGAAUUACUGGGCGUAAAGCGUGCGCAGGCGGUUGUGCAAGGCCGAUGUGAAAUCCCCGGGCUUAACCUGGGAAUGGCAUUGGUGACUGCACGGCUAGAGUGUGUCAGAGGGGGGUAGAAUUCCACGUGUAGCAGUGAAAUGCGUAGAGAUGUGGAGGAAUACCGAUGGCGAAGGCGGCAUCCUGGACCGACAUUGACGCUGAGGAGCGAAAGCUAGGGGAGCAAACGGG
rnacentral:rRNA from 1 species